UGCUUCCGUACUUUCAGUCACAGCUCCCAGAGUGAGCAGCCCACGUAGACAGAGACAACAUGUGACCUCCAUACAGAAAGACCCGGGAUCAAACCAGCAAACCGGUGAUUGUCUGGCUGAAGGGCCGUGUCAGCCUCCCUGUGGCCCCCCGCCCCCCCAAACUGUAAUCUAUAUGUAAACGUACCAGACAAUGACUAACCAUCGGUAGUGGACCAGAUGUUCUUGGGACAUUUGACGCAAUCUAGUUGGAGGUCCACAGCAACUGUUGUUGUUGGAGGUGUACAGCUUCACUUCCAUAAACCUUUUUGUUAAUUGUCUCAGAAAAAAAAAGAGUUCUUCCAAAAAGGGGAAUUCCACAGUUUUGUAAGAAUAUUACAAAAUCAAACAAACCAAAGGUUUGGAAAUGGGACGUGGGCUUUUCAUGAAUUGAAGG